AGCCAUGCAAUGAGCUCAGAGUGAAUUAUUCUUUUACCUUUUACUAAAGAAUACCGUGUGAUUGCUGCACAGAUAAUGGGAUACGCCUGUUUUUGUAGGGAUCUUUCUUUUGAAAGUG